CCCCCGGUACCUCAGUUGGUUAGCAGGGAGCGGCUCAUAACCGUUUUGUCACAGGUUCAAGUCCUGUUCGGGGGA
rnacentral:tRNA from 1 species